rnacentral:sRNA from 1 species
AUUCCUGUUGGGGUGGGGGUGGGGACUCUUGGGGUUGGAGGGAUGGUCGAGUUGCCAGGCCCACUUUUCCCUUAUCUUUGUGGGAGUCUGGGACACCCCAGCCCUGUCCUGGCUGGUGGAAGCUGCCCCAGGUCUCUCAAGGCCUUUCCAUUUCAUCCCCCAGCUUCCCUCCUUGGAGUUUCAUCCUCAUCACCUCAUCCCCAUCUUGCCAGUGCUCCCGCGUCCCACCCGUCCCUGCUCUUUCCUGACCCCUUUUCUGUUCUCCAGACCCGUGUUCCUGUGCGGAGGGGAUGUGAAGGGGGAAUCAGGUUACGUGGCAAGUGAGGGGUUCCCCAACCUCUACCCCCCUAAUAAGGAGUGCAUCUGGACCAUAACGGUCCCCGAGGGCCAGACUGUGUCCCUCUCAUUCCGAGUCUUCGACCUGGAGCUGCACCCCGCCUGCCGCUACGAUGCUCUGGAGGUCUUCGCUGGGUCUGGGACUUCCGGCCAGCGGCUCGGACGCUUUUGUGGGACCUUCCGGCCUGCGCCCCUAGUCGCCCCCGGCAACCAGGUGG